UUGCAUUAGAAUUAGAAUCUAACUAUACUAAAAUCACUACAUCCAACAUAAUCAUUACAACU
rnacentral:tRNA from 1 species